GCAGCAGCUCAAGGAGGUGACACGGAGGAAGGAGGGCCGGAGGAUACCGCCGGCUCCCCCAGCGCACGGUGCUUCCCACGCCCUUCUCCUUCGCAAGGCACCUGAGGAAUUCUUGCUCCCCUCUCUUUUCCCACCUGUCCUGCCCCCGCCACCAGCUAAGCCUCGUCUCUCCGGGCUCUCUCGGGCAGGUGGGAGGCAGACAUGCCCUACCUGUACCAGGACUCGAAGGCGCGGCCGGCCGCGCAUCCCGGGAAUGCCCGUGCCACGCACAGCUCGGGGAAGGGCUACGAGCAGCUGAAGCAGGAGUGCCUGCGCAGGGCCGUCCUCUUCGAGGACUCCGACUUCCCCGCCUGCAAUUCGUCUCUCUUCUUCAGUGAAAACCCACCCAUUCCCUUCGUCUGGAAGAGGCCUGGGGAGAUUGUAAAAGACCCCAAGUUUAUCCUUGGAGGAGCCACCAGAACUGACAUUUGUCAGGGGGAUCUUGGUGACUGCUGGCUAUUAGCAGCCAUAGCUUCUCUCACACUGAAUGAAAAAACACUAGCAAGAGUGGUGCCACUGGAUCAAAAUUUUGGGCCAGAUUAUGCUGGGAUAUUUCACUUCCAGUUUUGGCAGCACAACGAGUGGCUGGAUGUCGUGAUUGAUGACCGAUUACCCACUUUCAAGGGCCGGCUGGUUUUCCUGCACUCAGCUGAACUCAAUGAAUUUUGGAGUGCCUUACUAGAGAAAGCCUAUGCCAAGUUGAAUGGCAGCUACGAGUCUCUGAAGGGUGGCAGUACAAUAGAGGCCAUGGAGGAUUUCACUGGGGGUAUAGGAGAAAUGUACGAUGUUAAGGCGGCUCCUGACAAUUUCUAUGAAAUCCUAGAAAAAGCCUUGAAAAGAUGCUCAAUGGUGGGCUGCUCUAUUGAUACCAGCAGUGCUGCCGAGUCAGAAGCCCGAACCCCGUUUGGCCUUGUGAAAGGCCAUGCAUACUCUGUGACUGGCAUGGAGGAGGUGAGCUAUAGGGGCCGGCAAGUGCAGCUCAUAAGGAUCAGGAACCCCUGGGGACAGGUGGAGUGGAACGGCCCUUGGAGUGACAACUCUGCAGAGUGGCACUCAGUCAGCCCAUCGGAGCAGAGACGCCUGUCUCAGGCAGCACGGGAUGAUGGAGAGUUCUGGAUGAAGUUUGAAGACUUCAAAGUGCAUUUUGACAAAGUUGAGAUCUGCAACCUGACUCCAGAUGCCCUAGAAGACAGCACUGCCCACAAAUGGGAAGUGACCAUCCACCAGGGAAGCUGGGUCCGUGGAGCCACCGCAGGAGGAUGUAGAAAUUUCCUAGAAACUUUCUGGACAAAUCCACAAAUCAAGCUGCAUUUGACAGAGAGGGACGAUGGACAAGAUGACUGCACGUUCAUAGCGGCACUGAUGCAAAAGGGUCGCCGCAAACUCAAGAAGCUUGGAGCUGAAAUGCUGACCAUUGGCUACUCUAUUUAUGAGAGCCCUGGCAGAGAUGGACACUUGGGCAAAGACUUCUUCAGGUACCACCCCUCCAAGGCCAGGAGCAAAACCUACAUCAAUUUAAGGGAAGUAUCCCACCGAUUCAAGCUGCCACCGGGUGAUUACAUUCUUAUUCCAACCACAUUUGAGCCGCACCAGGAGGCAGAUUUCUGCCUGAGGAUCUUCUCUGAGAAGAAGGCCAUCACUGAGGAUCUAGAUGAAAAUGUUGCCAUUGAUCUCCCAGAGCCUCUACACCCAACCCCAAACCCACAAGAAACUGAAGAGGAAAAGCAGUUCCGGGCACUGUUUGAGCAGAUCUCGGGAAAGGACAUGGAGAUCUCUGCAGAAGAACUUGAAUAUGUUCUGAAUGCUGUAUUAAAAAAAACAAAGAACAUAAAAUUCAAGAACUUAAGUCUCAUUUCAUGCCGAAAUAUCAUUUCUCUUAUGGAUACCAGUGGCAACGGGAAACUGGAAUUCAGUGAGUUCAAAGUUUUCUGGGAAAAAAUGAAGAAAUGGAUAAGUAUCUUCCUUCAAUUUGACUUUGAUAAAUCUGGCUCCAUGUCCUCUUAUGAGCUUCGUGGGGCUCUUAAAGCUGCAGGUAAGGCAAGCACUGCAUUUUAUCCUGUAAACCUGUUGGGCAGAUCAGCGUGGGUGAAGAGGACAAUCACACAGGCUCCUGAACAAGAAGGAGGUCUAAACCCCAGAGAGAACCCGGGCACACUGAGUAGGGUAAUUUUGCCCCAGGUACCCCAAGUCCUGAAGGGCAGGCAGUCAGAACAAUCUCUGUAUUUUAUUGAGCUAUGUUAAACCCAACAGGGCUGAACGUGUGUGGGGUUAGACCUUGAAACAGAUCACUUCAGAGUCCAUGUACAUUCAAGGGUUGAAGGAGUAGUGAGAAAUCUGCUAUGAAGAGCAAUCUCUGCAUCAGUAUUUCAUCACAACUUGUUUUUAUUAAAGCAGAUAAUUUUUCAGAAAUCCCUCCAAAUUUGAGAAGAUAGAAUGGUCUCUCAUACGUCACAGUGUGGCAUGGACUAGAAACUGCAGUGCCUGGAAAAUUUCUUGUUCAGGGUUUGUUAUUCAUUGCAGGCUUAAGGAACUUGGUGGUUAGAUCUCUUUCUGGAUGGAUAUGUGCCACGGAGUAUCCUCCCAUUAAGUGGUUUUCAAGAUUAGUUACUAGAGAUCUGUAGAUUCCCCCUGAUGUGUGAGGUUGCUCACUUCUACUUUGUGUGUGUCUCUGGGAAGGAUACCAGCUCAACAAUUACCUGCUGCAACUGAUUGUCCUCCGAUACUCUGAUGAGCAGUUCCAGAUUGAAUUUGAUGAUUUUCUGAACUGCCUAAUACGCCUGGAGAAUGCGAGUCGAGUAUUCCAAGCACUGAGUGCGAAAAACAAGGACUUCAUUAACCUGAAUAUAGGCGAGUUUAUCAACUUGGCAAUGAACAUCUGAAGAAGUUUGAUUUGGAUGCCAGGAGUUUCUUGCGACUUUGCUGCCGAGACUUUUGCCCCAAGAGCUGGGGUCCCCUUCACAUGCAAACUUCACCAGGAGAUUUCCUGCAGAGAAACAUGAAUGCUGCCCCCCCUUUCUGUUCUCCAACCCUGUGGAUGAGUUUAAGUGUCAGAUCAUGUGUUUUUUUGGUAGAGCCUGAGACUGGAUUUGGCACUGAGCAUUUGGAUGUGGUACACAUUCCUCUCAAGCAGGCUGAAGCUGUUGUUCCUGAGUGACCACAGGUUUUUAUGAAAUAGGAUUGUGUUUGCUUUCAGCAUAGCACAGACUACAGUGAUUAAAAGUCUUUAUUGCUGCUUGGCUACUGAUUACUGUAAGGUCCUUUUGAAAAUACAAGGUUGCAUAAAACUUGUUCAGUUUAUAAUUUAUUUCCAGGCAUUAUGUGUGGCUACAUGACAAGUACCCUGUUGUAGCCACAUGCAUUGCAGUCUGGUGAGCUGUAGGGACUGUAUGGAAGAAAAUUCACUUCUUAAUAAUUGUGGUCCCAGGUCCAGGGUUCCUUAGAGGGAUGCUUAAGAAAAGGUUUGACAUUCAUCAUAGAUAUGCUUUAGGGAAAAAUGAUUGCAUCUCACCUUUUCUUAGUUCUUCCUCUGCUACCAACAAAAUUCCUCUCUUCACAUUUUGCUGUGUAGCCAGAGUGUCCCACAGGCCUGCCUCUGUAGAGCUGCACACAGUUUGUCAUUGUCUUCAGAGAAACACAUGGCCUCUCAGACACUGAGCACUUGCAUGGGGCUGUUUUCCUCCAGGCAGUCCAAGAUUGUGUCCCACACCAGCCAUGCGCCAGAAGAACAACUGUAAUCAUUUCAGAUUAACUAAAUGUACCCAUUGGUAGCAUCCUGAUCUCUGCAGAUGCUACUUUGCAUCUGUGACUUAUACAGUACUAUCCAUGUGAUGUGGGUAGGCAGUGCUGACUUAAAAAAUAACAGUAAUAGCAACCAGGGACUUAAGAGGUCUUCAUAGGAUUUGUUUCCAUGAUAAUCUUCAUAACUUAUGUCUAUUUUAUAGUGAAUCAGCUGUCUGGCUUUGUUUUCUAAAACCUUUCUUGCAGUGUAACAUAUGGCCCUAGGCUAGCCUUGCAUCCCCUACUGUCUGGGAUCACUGAGACAGACAGGGUUUUGUUUUCUCUAGAUUUAGACCUAAUGAACAAUUCAGGAAAGAAAAUCAAGCUGCAGUAAAGGUGAAGCUCAAACAAUGAAAAAACAUACAAAUCAUGGUGUAUAAAAUACUAACUUUCAUUUUUUUCUAUCAAUUAUAAUAUUGUAACUAUGCAGAAAAUACUCUGGAGCUAGCUGGGAGCUGAGCAAAAGCUGAUGGUUGCAGUAUUUGAUUAACUGAGGUACUCAGCCCCAUGAGGUGUAUUGAUUUUCAGAUGUGCUGAUUGUUUGCCCUUUUACAGCACCAGAGACAGCUGUCCAAAUCUGUGAAAGUUUGGAUUAAAAUCAAGACUGUCCUAUGAACAUUCAACCACACUCUUGAAACAAACAAACAAACAAACAAAAAAACCCCACAAUUGGAAAUCCUUAACCGGUUCACUGUACAAGCUUAGAUGUAGAUACAAAUUUGUUGUAAUGUACCACUGUUCACAUGCAGAAGAAAAGAAAUGUCUCAAUACCUAGCAUUACCAGUGUAGCUUUCUGUUUCUCUCCACAGAGCUGGUGCUGUCUUGAGAAAUCAGGAUUGCUAUACAAAAAUUAUAAAUAAAGGUGGAAGCAAUGAGGUACAGGCAAAAAUAUUCUUGGCUUUAAAAACAAAAUUAAUGCAUUUAAGAAAAGAAACACCCUGAGGAGUUUUCUGCCCACUCGGAGCAGUUGCCUGCUGACUGUACCAAAAGGAACCUGAGAGAUAACAUCAGAGUUCUUUAGGAAUCAGCCUCUUUCUUGGGCAGCCAGCUCUCUGCAGACAGCCUGGUCCCAGUCCUGCCUUGGGACUUACACAACACCCACAGCAGAGGGCACAGAAGGGGGUUAAGCACACGAGAACCUGUGGGUACAACCAGGCUGGCUGUACCAUGGCCACUCAAACUCUGUUGCGGCACAGUCCCCAUCUCGCCACUUGGCCUGUAAGGAUGUUACAGGUGCCUGUGCUGAAAGCCUUGCCAAUAUCAAGGUGUAGAACAGCAAUUGCUCCCCCUUGUCCUGAGUGUUAGACCACUUCCUUUCUGCACCGGAGCACGGCCCACCUUAAAAAGGGAAGAGUAACUCUGGCAGUAACUUUUGCAGCAGCGAGGUGGAGGAUUAUAUAAUCCCUGGUGAGGUGGGGUUUUUGUGUGCUAUUACACUUAGAGGGACUGAGUG